UUUGAAUUAAGAGAUGAAAGAAAAUAUGGAUAAAUGAUAUAAUAGUUACAAGAUUAAAGAAAGUAUGGAUAUUUUAAAAGAAGGGAUGAAUAAAUGUAUAAAGAGACAGUAAGGUAAGAUAUUUUAAUGAGUGAAUGACAGAAUAAAGCUUUGGAUUAAUAGAUGGAAGAAAAUAAGCAUAAACUAAGAUAAUACAAUAGUUGCAAGGUUAAAAAUGUAUGGAUAUUUUAAAGCAAGGAUGAAUAAAUGAAUAAAGAGACAGUAAGUUCUAAUGAGGAAAUAAAAGAAUAGAGGUCUGAAUUAAUAGAAGAAAAUAUGAAUAAAUAGUAAGGUAAAAGAAAAAAUGAAAAUGUAUGGAUAUUUUUAAGGAAGGUAUGAAUAAAUGGAUAGAUAGAUUGUAGGGUAAGAUGCUUUCAUGAGUGAAUGACAGAAUAGAGGCGUGAAUUAAUAGAAAGAAGAAAACAUGAAUAAAUAGUAAGGUAAACGAAAAAAUUAAAAUGUAUGGAUAUUUUUAAGGAAGGUAUGAAUAAAUGUAUAGAUAGACAGUAAGGUAAUCUGUUUUAAUGUGUAGAUGACAGAAGAGGUUUGAAUUAAUAGAUGGAAGAGAAUAUUGAUAAAUAGUGAUAGUUACAAGAUGAAAGAAUGUAGAGAUAACCUGAAAGAUAAGACAAAGAUUAGAUAAACCACAAAAAAAAACACCAGAUAACAGUAAAAUUUAUAUAUAUUCUUUCUUUCAUAAUAGAGCAAUAUUGGAAUUCCUCAACAUUACUUCUUUGUAUAGAUUUGUAUAAGAUAUUUUUUCCCUUUAUAUAUAUACCUAAAUGGACCUGACACACCACCCACGCAUUCACACGCCACCAAUCGAGCGUCCCACCCACACACCAAUACACCCACCCACCAAACCCUGCCUGGCGCUGAAUCACGGACACACACCAAUGCAGGAGUAAUCACGGAACAAAAUCUGGCGUUCAGCUAAGAGUAACUGCCAAGAGCUUAGCGGUGAGGGAAUGCGAUGAAACAAGUUAUAUUUCUAUUUUACACUUCGUGGUAAUGGCGAAUAAUUUACACCUUUAUUUUCCAUGGUUUUAAUUCAGUAUUCCUUCACCACUAGCUCCCUUCAUCCUGCAAGCACUGGAAACAUAAGUACAAGUGUGUUAUGCCAUGUUCCCUCACCACCAGCUCCUCUCAGCCUAACACCAGUACAGUACAUAAAGGAGGCAACACAGGCAUCAAUGACACAAACAAGGCACGGUACUUGUGAACAGCAGGAAAGUAAUGACGUCACAAUGCAUUAUCUUAACUCAGGUGUGUGUGUGUGUCUGUGUGUAUGAUCAACAAUAGUACAUCUUAUCAAAUUCAUCUUAAAAUAAUAAACAGUAAUACAUUCAGUAAUCAGGGAGCUUUGCAAUAAGAUUAAGCAGGAAAUUGGUUCUGAAAUACAAAUACAAAUACAAAUAGACAAGGUGAAAUAAUCAGUAUAUAGUCGGUACUAAGUUUUACAGCAAAAUUAAACAGGAAAUUGGUUCUUAAAUGUGGCUUAGAUGAUACACGAAGUCCAUGAGGAGCCUGACAAAGAAAUUAAGAAGGAAACUAAUCCUCAAAAUUAUCAACAUACACUCCAUAGCAAGACUUACAAUAGAUAGGACACUGGCUCGCAAACAUGGCUGGAAGUAACACGAACAACGUAGAGUUAACAUAAGACCUUCAUGCAAAGAAUAAGUAAGAAACUGUCUCUCAAGUGUGGCUGGAAGUAACAUGAACAGCAUAGAGUUAACAUAGAGUUUCACACAUAGAAUAAAUAAGGAACUGGCUCUCAAAUGUAUAUAUAACAGACUGACUGAGGUAACUUAGAACAUUCGGCGAUCAAUGAAGUCGAUACAAAGCUUUACGACAAGAUUAAACAUGAAACCAGCUCUGAAGUAUGGCUCAAAUAACCUGAAAUACACUUAGAUAACCUUGAAAUAAACUAAGGAGAAACAGACGCCAUAAUCAGAGUCAAUAUCAUCAAACUGCUUCACAAAUAUGAUAUCAAAAUCCUGAAAGACUAACAUAACAAGCUCAGUCACCAGUCAAGAAGAAGAAGGCCACGAUAAUCAGCUGGUGAGGAGAAGCAGUGCACAUCAUUGGUCAUUAGCAAGACUCGGAACACUGACACAACUAAAUCAAGACAAGAUGGGAAAGUGGACACAGACAGGGGUGCAUUAUAGAGAAAAAGCCAUGUGUUCAUCUAAUGGCUUCCGUGUGUGUGUGUGUGUGUGUGUGUGUAUGAGUUUUGUUAGGGAUUAGUGGUAGAAUAUGAGUGAGUGUGUGUGUGUGUGUGUGUGUGUGUGUGUGUGUGUGUGUGUGUGUGUGUGUGUGUGUGUGUGUGUGUGUGUGUGUGUGUGUGU